rnacentral:rRNA from 1 species
CCUACGGGAGACUGCAGUGGGGAAUAUUGCACAAUGGGGGAAACCCUGAUGCAGCGACGCCGCGUGAGUGAAGAAGUAUUUCGGUACGUAAAGCUCUAUCAGCAGGGAAGAAAAUGACGGUACCUGACUAAGAAGCCCCUGCUAACUACGUGCCAGCAGCCGCGGUAAUACGUAGGGGGCAAGCGUUAUCCGGAAUUACUGGGUGUAAAGGGAGCGUAGACGGUGAUGUAAGGCUGGAGUGAAAGGCGGGGGCCCAACCCCCGGACUGCUCUGGAAACUAUGUGACUGGAUUGCAGGAGAGGUGAGCGGAAUUCCUAGUGUAGCGGUGAAAUGCGUAGAUAUUAGGAGGAACACCAGUGGCGAAGGCGGCUCACUGGACUGUAACUGACGUUGAGGCUCGAAAGCGUGGGGAGCAAACAGGAUUAGAUACCCGAGUAGUC